UCUACCACCUGACAGUGUGUUAAAGUUAAAUUCUGUUAGUGCUGCACUAAAAGAAUUGUUAGUAAUAAGUCCAUGCAGCGAAGGAAUUGAACAAUUGUGGGACCGUAUUUGGGCUGAAAAUGGGUGUGGUACGGAAACCAAGAUAUGGCACAAGUUCAACAUGAAACAUGGAUUAGAAUUUAAUGGGGGAUCAAAUCAAGUCUGGAAGUGUUACAGGAUGGAAGAGUCAGCCUACAGAUGAAAAAACACAGAGUGCAUUACCAUUACGGUAUGAGGUAAAGUAAUAGAGUAUGCACAUUGUCUAAUGAGAAGUACCAUCUUGUGUUAAUAAAUCCAGUACAACAGCAAUCCUUUAUAGUUCUGUCACAGCUAGAAACCUCAAAUAAUUCUGCUUCUCUGUCUAAAGAACAACUUGUCCUUUACGUUCAGAGUGUUGGGGAAACUGGGUACUUAAAUGGCCCUAAAGAUGUUUUAAUUUUGCUGCCAUUGCAGAGAUGAACAUCAUACAUGGACUCUUUAGGUCUAAUCUACCAAAAAAAAUUUUAUCCAAUAGGAAAGGAUUUUCAUGUACUGGGAACACAACUAUCAACAAUGCAACAUUAUACAGGUGCUAGUUUAUCAUUCAAGAGCCUUAUACAAUGAUGUUAAUCUGCAAUUUGUAUGUCCUUCCCCAAGCUUCCACCAGAAGUUGAAUCUAUGAGUCAUGUAAGUUACAUGAUCAACAGUUGAUAUGUUUAAUGGUGUUGUUUUUCUUUUCUCAAUAUAGGUUAAUAGUAACAUUGGAUCUGAAAAAAUUCUUGGUUGGGGCAAGACACUGAAUAAAUUGUAUUGAUUGGAUGGAUGACAUGACAUUUCUAUACUUAAUUCGGAUUCCCCAGACGGUAUUUGAUAUUAAAAAAAUUGAAGUGCAUAUCUGGGCUCCCUUCUUUUCUGAAGCCCCGUUUCCCCUUGACUCGUAAUAAGCCCGUAGGGGGUCAUGCCCCUACUGUACGGUAUAUAUAAAAACAACAUAUACCGAGGUUUGGAGGGCUCUGGCCGGAAAGGGGACGUGGGGUGCCGCUUAGUCCGAUGAUGUGUUCACGGAGGGCGAUGUGGCUACCCACAAAUCCGAACUAAAGGUUAAUCGCUCCUGUAAAAAUGUUCCAAAUCUUCAGCUCUUCUUCCGGCUUCUCUUAGCCAAUCACCGGGUAAUCUCCCCGGUGGGUCAACAAGGCAGUGUCUCCCCCUGCCUGGGUUGACGGCAACUUUUGAAAAGGCUAUUGUGCCUUUUUAAAGUUGCAAAAAUAAUUGUA